UACGGGGGGGGCAAGCGUUGUUCGGAAUUACUGGGCGUAAAGGGCUCGUAGGUGGUCAACUAAGUCGGACGUGAAAUCCCUCGGCUUAACCGGGGAACUGCGUCCGAUACUGGAUGACUUGAGUUCGGGAGAGGGAUGCGGAAUUCCAGGUGUAGCGGUGAAAUGCGUAGAUAUCUGGAGGAACAUCAGUGGCGAAGGCGGCUUCCUGGUCCAACACUGACACUGAGGUGCGAAAGCGUGGGGAGCAAACAGG
rnacentral:rRNA from 1 species